rnacentral:rRNA from 1 species
UACGUAGGGUCCGAGCGUUGUCCGGAAUUAUUGGGCGUAAAGGGCUCGUAGGCGGUUGGUCACGUCGGGAGUGAAAACUCAGGGCUCAACCCUGAGCGUGCUUCCGAUACGGGCCGACUAGAGGUAUGCAGGGGGAGAACGGAAUUCCUGGUGUAGCGGUGGAAUGCGCAGAUAUCAGGAGGAACACCGGUGGCGAAGGCGGUUCUCUGGGCAUUACCUGACGCUGAGGAGCGAAAGCAUGGGGGAGCGAACAGG